rnacentral:rRNA from 1 species
AACGAACGCUGGCGGCAGGCUUAACACAUGCAAGUCGAACGCCCCGCAAGGGGAGUGGCAGACGGGUGAGUAACGCGUGGGAAUCUACCCAGUUCUACGGAAUAACCCAGGGAAACUUGGACUAAUACCGUAUACGCCCUACGGGGGAAAGAUUUAUCGGAAUUGGAUGAGCCCGCGUUGGAUUAGCUAGUUGGGGGGGUAAUGGCCUACCAAGGCGACGAUCCAUAGCUGGGCUGAGAGGAUAAUCAGACACACUGGGACUGAGACACGGCCCAGACUCCUACGGGGGGCAGCAGUGGGGAAUAUUGGACAAUGGGCGCAAGCCUGAUCCAGCCAUGCCGCGUGAGUGAUGAAGGCCUUAGGGUUGUAAAGCUCUUUCAGUGGGGACGAUAAUGACGGUACCCACAGAAGAAGCCCCGGCUAACUUCGUGCCAGCCGCCGCCGUAAUAC